UGAAAUUUCAGACGGGUUUGAACAAUGGAAGAUGAAGAAGAACGGUGGCAGCGUUGAGGCAAACACACAGAGAGAAACAAAGACGAAAGAUAGCUCGAUCGAUGUGGAGAGUGAAUUGCAGAGAGCAAUCAUGGCUGCAUCUUCAUAAUCAGGUUUGAAACAUGUGUUUGAUAAUUGAUUGUAUAUAUAUAGUAUGCAAUUUGAG
rnacentral:misc_RNA from 1 species